rnacentral:rRNA from 1 species
UACGUAGGGUGCGAGCGUUAAUCGGAAUUACUGGGCGUAAAGCGUGCGCAGGCGGUCAUGCAAGACAGAUGUGAAAUCCCCGGGCUCAACCUGGGAAUUGCAUUUGUGACUGCAUGGCUGGAGUGCGGCAGAGGGGGAUGGAAUUCCGCGUGUAGCAGUGAAAUGCGUAGAUAUGCGGAGGAACACCGAUGGCGAAGGCAGCCCCCUGGGUCAAAACUGACGCUCAUGCACGAAAGCGUGGGGAGCAAACAGG